CAGCUUCCACCAAAAAACAAAUUUGACCCUUGCAUCAUCCAGUUCACAGCGUUGAACCAACAUUCUUCUUCCUGAAUAUCCUUCACUUUACUGGCCUGCAACUGACUUCCCAUGAGUAGACACUUAUGUAGACUCCUCAUGAUGCAACUAAGACAACUUCACGCUCCUGAGUUGUUGUCUUUCUAAUGCAGCUUGAUCUCUGCAUUCUUCAUCUUUUUAGGACUUCUUUUUCAGGUUCUGACACUCCAUUUGAGAUGAGUUGUCCAUCAGACUUGAUACACAUCACCUUCACAUUCUUGAAGUGAGCAUCCUUGACACAUAA
rnacentral:lncRNA from 1 species